GACGAACCGUGCGAACGUUAUUCGGAAUCACUGGGCUUAAAGCGUGUGUAGGCGGACUUCUAAGUACCUUGUGAAAUCCCACGGCUCACCCGUGGAACUGCUGGGUAUACUGGUCGUCUUGAGCCACCUAGGGGCCAGCGGAACAAAUGGUGGAGCGGUGAAAUGCGUAGAUAUCAUUUGGAACGCCAACGGUGAAAACAGCUGGCUGGGGGUGUGCUGACGCUGAGACACGAAAGCCAGGGGAGCGAACGGG
rnacentral:rRNA from 1 species